AGCCGCGGUAAUUCCAGCUCCAAUAGCGUAUAUUAAAGUUGCUGCAGUUAAAAAGCUCGUAGUUGAAUUUCGGAACCAAUAUGUUGGUUGUGCCUCGGUACGUACUGGCAUUGUUGGUUUCUCCCUUCUGACGAACUAUGAUGUCAUUAAUUUGGUGUCAUGGGGAAUCAGGACUGUUACUUUGAAAAAAUUAGAGUGUUUAAAGCAGGCUCACGCUUGAAUACAUUAGCAUGGAAUAAUGAAAUAGGACGUUUGAUUCUAUUUUGUUGGUUUCUAGGAUUGACGUAAUGAUUAAUAGGGAUAGUUGGGGGCAUUAGUAUUCAAUUGUCAGAGGUGAAAUUCUUGGAUUUAUUGAAGACUAACUACUGCGAAAGCAUUUGCCAAGGAUGUUUUCAUUAAUCAAGAACGAAAGUUAGGGGAUCGAAGACGAUCAGAUACCGUCGUAGUCUUAACCAUAAACUAUGCCGACUAGGGAUCGGAUGAUGUUAAUUUUUUAAUGACUCAUUCGGCGCCUUACG
rnacentral:rRNA from 1 species